rnacentral:rRNA from 1 species
GAUGAACGCUGGCGGCGUGCCUAAUACAUGCAAGUCGAGCGAACAGACGAGGAGCUUGCUCCUCUGACGUUUGCGGAGGACGGGUGAGAAACACGUGGAUAACCUACCUAUAAGACUGGGAUAACUUCGGGAAACCGGAGCUAAUACCGGAUAAUAUAUUGAACCGCAUGGUUCAAUAGUGAAAGACGGUUUUGCUGGCACUAAUAGCUGGUUCUGCGCCGGAUUGGCUGGUUGGUAAGGUAACGGCUUACCAAGGCAACGAUGCGUAGGCGAGCUGAUGGGGGGAUCGGCCACACGGGAGCUGAACCACGGUCCUGGCUCCUGAGGGAGGCAGCAGUAGCGAAUGUUCCGCAGUGGGCGGGAGCCUGACGGAGCGGCGCGGAGUCAGUGGUGGAAAUCUUCGGAUCGUAAUACUGUGUUAUGGGGUGAGAACAACUUUGUAAGUAAAUAUGCACUUCUUGACGGUACCUAGUCAGAAAGCCCCGGCUAACUACGUG